rnacentral:tRNA from 1 species
CUCGCCCUGGUCGAGGUGGUGGCGGCGGCGUGCUGGAACCAUGCGGCCACCGACCGGCUGUUCGUGGUGGCCGGGGGCGACC